GUUGCCCUUUUGGGGAGGACUACCUUCCGUGGCGGAAGGACACAGAAGACCAAAAUUGCGCAUGAGUUAUUCUGAUGGCCAAUGGGGAAGUGGUGAGAAAGCAGGGCCCGCCCUCGGAGCCACGGCCACCACUAUCCCAGAUCCCCAGGCGCCACGGCCACCUGUUGCCUUAGGACUUGGACGACUCUAUAGGGCUCCCUUUUUGGCACUCUGCCCAGGUCGCCCCAUCUGCCCUGGACUAUCAGGGCGGUGCCCAGAUUUAUAGGUCCCAGGACAUUCCUCCAGCCCCGCCCGGUGCCCGCCCCAACGCAACCUCCGAGGCUGAGCGGAACGGGAAGCUGGGGUGAUGUGAUGUGGGGUGGUCGGAGGUCUGGGCUGUCUCCCAGAAAUCUGUAGUCUUAGAGACCUGGUAGGGGGGACUUAGGAGCCUGUUCCUGGAGCGUAAGCGCGGCCUCAUAACAAGAAACGCAGCCCCAAACUACAGGAAACCAGGGCUGAAGGACACUGCCCCUCACCCAGCCUAAAGACACCUUCUUCAUCAUCCUGAACAAGGCUCAACUCUGCAUUCAAAUAUCAUGAUCUCAGUCUAGAUAUUUCAAUGGCAAGAUUCUAAGAGAAAUUCCCAUUCAGGUUCUACUUCAGAGAAAGCAGGCAGGAGAUGAAGAAAGAAUGACUUCUGCGGGAGAGAUGGCUCAGAGGUUAAGAGCACUGACUGACUGCUCUUCCAGGGGUCCUGAGUUCAAUUCCCAGCAACCACAUGGUGGUUCACAACCAUCUACAAUUCAAUCUGGUGCCCUCUUCUGGCGCGCAGGCAGAACACUGUAUAUGUAAUAAAUAAAUCUUAAAAAAAAAAAAAGAGAAAAGAAUGACUUCUUUGGUGAGUCUUAGAGGUGGCACUUUAAGUAACUAAACUCUUGUCCUGUCUCAAACCUAUUGCACUGUCCCAUUCAUACUGAUUCAGUGACUAUUCCAUUCUUGUCCUUGGACUACACUAUUUGAUGCUUAGAAUAAUCUCUGAAUACUUUUGUGUCCAGAGUUAAUUUUUUUUCUCUUUCAUUUUUGUUUUUCGAGGCAGGGUUUCUUUGUGUAGCCCUAGUUGUCCUGAAAUUUGCUCUGUAUAUCUGAAUGUCCUCAAACUCACGGAGAUCUGUCUGCCUCUGCCUCCUGAGUGCUGGGAUUAAGGGCAUAUGCCACUACCAUCCAGUCAGAAUUAAUUUCUAAACAGGAAUAAAGAAAAUUUCCAAUCCA